UCCCGACAAAGGCAUAACCAGGGCAACCUGGCGACGCAAAGUCACGGGCCCUCAAGGGUCGCCGGACUGCCGAA
rnacentral:ncRNA from 1 species